rnacentral:rRNA from 1 species
GAUGAACGCUAGCUCCCGGUCUUAACACAUGCAAGUCGAGGGGCAGCAUGUCGGUUGCUCGCAACCGAUGAUGGCGACCGGCGCACGGGUGAGUAACGCGUAUCCAACCUACCCUUGUCCAUCGGAUAACCCGUCGAAAGGCGGCCUAACACGAUAUGCGGUUCACCGCAGGCAUCUAAGGUGAACGAAAUGUGAAGGAGAAGGAUGGGGAUGCGUCUGAUUAGCUUGUUGGCGGGGUAACGGCCCACCAAGGCGACGAUCAGUAGGGGUUCUGAGAGGAAGGUCCCCCACAUUGGAACUGAGACACGGUCCAAACUCCUACGGGAGGCAGCAGUGAGGAAUAUUGGUCAAUGGGCGAGAGCCUGAACCAGCCAAGUAGCGUGAAGGAUGACUGCCCUAUGGGUUGUAAACUUCUUUUAUAAAGGAAUAAAGUCGGGUAUGGAUACCCGUUUGCAUGUACUUUAUGAAUAAGGAUCGGCUAACUCCGUGCCAGCAGCCGCGGUAAUACGGAGGAUCCGAGCGUUAUCCGGAUUUAUUGGGUUUAAAGGGAGCGUAGAUGGAUGUUUAAGUCAGUUGUGAAAGUUUGCGGCUCAACCGUAAAAUUGCAGUUGAUACUGGAUAUCUUGAGUGCAGUUGAGGCAGGCGGAAUUCGUGGUGUAGCGGUGAAAUGCUUAGAUAUCACGAAGAACUCCGAUUGCGAAGGCAGCCUGCUAAGCUGCAACUGACAUUGAGGCUCGAAAGUGUGGGUAUCAAACAGG